rnacentral:rRNA from 1 species
UGAGGAAUAUUGGUCAAUGGACGCAAGUCUGAACCAGCCAAGUAGCGUGCAGGAUGACGGCCCUAUGGGUUGUAAACUGCUUUUAUAUGGGGAUAAAGUGGGGAACGUGUUCCCUUUUGCAGGUACCAUAUGAAUAAGGACCGGCUAAUUCCGUGCCAGCAGCCGCGGUAAUACGGAAGGUUCGGGCGUUAUCCGGAUUUAUUGGGUUUAAAGGGAGCGUAGGCCGUUUGGUAAGCGUGUUGUGAAAUGUAGGAGCUCAACUUCUAGAUUGCAGCGGGAACUGUCAGACUUGAGUGCGCACAACGUAGGCGGAAUUCAUGGUGUAGCGGUGAAAUGCUUAGAUAUCAUGAAGAACGCCGAUUGCGAAGGCAGCUUACGGGAGCGCAACUGACGCUGAAGCUCGAAGGUGCGGGUAUCGAACAGG